UUCCCUGUAGCUCAGUUGGUACAGUGUGGUGUUUGCAACGCCAGCAUGGUGUGUGCAACGCCAGGGUUGUGGGUUCGAUUCCCACAGGGGAC
rnacentral:tRNA from 1 species